AUUGAACGCUGGCGGUAUGCUUUACACAUGCAAGUCGAACGGCAGCGCGGGCUUCGCUCUGGCGGCGAGUGGCGAACGGGUGAGUAAUACAUCGGAACGUGCCCAGUAGUGGGGGCUAGCUCGGCGACAGCCGGAUUCAUACCGCAUACGACCUGAGGGUGAAAGCGGGGGAUCUUCGGACCUCGCGCUCUUGGACCAGCCGAUGGCAGAUUAGCUAGUUGGUGGGGUAAAGGCCUACCAAGGCGACGAUCUGUAGCUGGUCUGAGAGGACGACCAGCCACACUGGUACUGAGACACGGCCCAGACUCCUACGGGAGGCAGCAGUGGGGAAUUUUGGACAAUGGGCGAAAGCCUGAUCCAGCAAUGCCGCGUGUGUGAUGAAGGCCUUCGGGUUGUAAAGCACUUUUGGCGGGAACGAAAAGGACUGUGCCAAUACCACGGUUCGAUGACGGUACCCGCAGAAUAAGCACCGGCUAACUACGUG
rnacentral:rRNA from 1 species